rnacentral:rRNA from 1 species
UAAGGAAUAUUGGACAAUGGGCGCAAGCCUGAUCCAGCCAUUCCGCGUGUAGGAUGACGGCCCUCUGGGUUGUAAACUACUUUUAUUUGGGAAGAAACCCUGGGAUUUAUCCCGGGCUGACGGUACCAAAAGAAUAAGCACCGGCUAAUUCCGUGCCAGCAGCCGCGGUAAUACGGAAGGUGCAAGCGUUAUCCGGAAUCACUGGGUUUAAAGGGUGCGUAGGCGGUUGCGUAAGUCAGAAGUGAAAGCUCACAGCUUAACUGUGGAAUUGCUUUUGAUACUGCGUGACUAGAAUCAGGUUGAGGUUGGCGGAAUGUGACAUGUAGCGGUGAAAUGCAUAGAUAUGUCAUAGAACACCAAUUGCGAAGGCAGCUGACUGGACCUGCAUUGACGCUGAGGCACGAAAGCGUGGGGAGCGAACAGG